ensembl:misc_RNA 7SK 7SK RNA
GGAUGUGAGGGCGAUCUGGCUGCAACAUGUCACUCCAUUGAUCGCCAGGGUUGAUUCGGCUGAUCUGGCUGGCUUGGGGGGUGUCCCCUUCCUCCCUCACAGCUCCAUGUGCGUCCCUCCCGAAGCUAUGCGCUAGGGGGAAGAAGACGGCCUUCCCCGAAUAGAGACAGACCAGUCUUCGGUCGAAGGUACAAGAGUAACUGCGCUCCCCUGCUAGAACCUCCAAACAAGUUCUCAAGAAUACAUAUGUAGCAACUACAAAAUGUCAUUAGGUAUUAGCACAGUGUUGUUUGUGCUGUGGUCC